UACGUAGGGGGGCAAGCGUUUGUCCGGAAUCAUUGGGCGUAAAGAGCGCGUAGGCGGCCCUGUAAGUCCGCUGUGAAAGUCAAAGGGCUCAACCCUUGGAUGCCGGUGGAUACUGCAGGGCUAGAGUCCGGAAGAGGCGAGUGGAAUUCCUGGUGUAGCGGUGAAAUGCGCAGAUAUCAGGAGGAACACCGAUGGCGAAGGCAGCUCGCUGGGACGGUACUGAGCUGAGGCGCGAAAGCGUGGGGAGCAAACAGG
rnacentral:rRNA from 1 species